GAUUAAGCCAUGCAUGUGUAAGUAUAAAUAGUUAACUUUGAAACUGCGAAUGGCUCAUUAUAUCAGUUAUAGUUUAUUUGAUGAAGAAUACUAAUUGGAUAACCGUAGUAAUUCUAGAGCUAAUACAUGUAUAAAGUCUUGUAGACUGCAUUUAUUAGAAUGAAAACCAUAGGUUUCGGCCUAUUCGUGAGUAAUAAUAACUAAUCAUAUCGUAUGCUUAUGUAACGAUGUGUCCUUUCCAAGUUUCCUGCCCUAUCAGCUUUCGAUGGUAGUGUAUUGGACUACCAUG
rnacentral:rRNA from 1 species